ensembl:lncRNA
AGAUGGGAUGGGCUGGAAUGGGGAUGGGGGUGGGAUGAGAUUGGGUGUGAUAGGAUGAGAUGGGAUGGGACCCUUGCAGGAUGGUCUGAGACAUCUCAGCUCGUUUGUUAUGCUUCUCUCUUUCCCUCUGGGGAAGUUAAUGCCCACUUCUGCAUGGCAGGGAUGGAUGGCUGACCUCCAUCUGCUGGUGGCAGGAUGCAGCACAGUGGCUGUGCUAAUGCUGUCCUGGCUGCAGUGCCACACUUGGUGCAGCCUCUGCAAUAUUUAGGGUCCUGCCCAGGGCCAAGCAGCUUCUGGCUGGCCUGCAGCCGACCUGUGGGACCCAGUCAGCAGGCCACAGUGCAUGGAAUGCCCUUAGGAAAAACCAACAGGAUCAGUCCUCAAAGCAAAGCACAACUUGCAUUUGCCUUUGCCCCCACAAUAGACAGUAAAUAAAGGCAGUGAUCAAACAGGGCAGGACUUAGGGGGGCUGGGACAUCGCCCUGGGGGGAGCUGCUCCCACAGCAGGCUGCACAGCUCAGCAUGCAGGCGGGUCCUGAAUACUUCCAUUGAAGGAGACCCCACACCUCCCUGGGCAGCCCAUCCCAGUGCUCCAUCACCCUCGCCAUGAAGAAGUUCCUUCACAUUUUGGUGCGGAACUUCCUGUGCUCCAGUGUGUGGCCGUUUCCCCUUGUCCUGUCCCCACAGACCACUGAGAUGAGUCUUCCCCAGGCCGAGCAGCUCCACGUCACGCAGCCUUCCCCCACAGGGAGAUGCUCCAGGCCUUCUCAGCUCUGUUAUCAGGAUGCCAUGGGAGAUAACACCAAAAGCCUUGCUGACAUCCACUUGCACCAAAAGCCUUGCAGAUGACAUCCACUCCUCCCCCCGCACCUACCCGGCUGGUGAUGCCAUCAUAGAAGGCUACGAGGCACAGAGGUGAGGCUGACUGCCUGCGGUUUCCUGGAUCCUCCUUCCUACCCUUUCUGCAGAUCUGCAUACUGCUCCCACCCAGCAGCUCCAGGACCCCCCCCUCACCCAGAGGGCAGCUCUCCAUUCCUGGACUCUCCCUGUUCCCCCCGGGGUCCCAAGAGGGUGGUCUUGGAAGUGAGAACUGUACCAAAGAAGGCACUCAGCAUCUCCACCUCCUCAGCACACCUCCCCUUGUUCCACAGGGUACCUUCUUACUUCCUCAUCAACACAGCAAUUGGGGUUUCGUGAGUGGAACAAAUGUGCAACAGCCCCGAGCUGCGAGGAGGAGUCAGGAGAGAGAUUCCGUGCAGUGCUGCAGCACGGUGCAUCCGCAGGGCACUGCCCACAGCACCGUGCACUGCCUGCAGCACCGUGCACUGCCUGCAGCACUGAGCACUACCCGCAGCACCGUGCAUUCCCUGCAGCACCGUUCUCUACCUGCAGCACUGCGCAUGGCUCUCCCUGCAGUGCCCGCAGCGCCAUGAACUGUGUCCUGCUCUGCGUGCACUGUGUGCCACCUAUGCCGUGCACCGCCUGCAGUGCUAUGCAUGGCCCGCACACCGUGCUGCCUGCAGCUGCUUGCACCGCCCAGGGGAGAUUGCAGAGGGCAGAGCGCUGCUCAUUGUGCUCCUGUCCCCACUGCCGGCAUGCAGCCGCGCUGGAGCGGAGCUGCUCUGGAAGAACCAAAGGACAGUUCCCCCCCACCCCCGCCCUGUGCUCGGAGCUCAUCUCCCCGCUGCCGAUCAGCACAUUCAGUGCUUAAAAGGAAACGAGUCCGCUGUGCUGAUGGGAGAGCCCGGGAGGCGCCGUGCGACCCUGCUUGGCAGCUCCGGGAAGGGCACCGUGUCAGAGCUCCCCGUGCACAAUGCACAGCGCAGCGUGUACAAUGCACGAUGCAGGACGCAGGGAGAGCGGAGUGCCAUCUCUGUUGGGGACGGCCCCGUUUCCGUGGCAACCGAGAGGCUCCGGCGGCGGCCGCGUGGCCCCGGCAGAGGGCACUGCGCGUUGUGCAGUGGAGGAGCCCAGCCCCGUGCCGGGCAGCACUCCAUGUUCCCGGCCUGCUGCGGCGCUCAGAGCGCUGGCACAGCGCUCUGCUGGAGUUACUCAUCGCUCCCAUCAGCAGCCCUCACCCAGCGCCCAUCUGCGGCUGCAGGACAGCGCCGUUCAUCAGCGGUGUGAGUCGGAGCUGGAGUGUGUGCAGCGGGGCCUCAGCUGUGUGCCCAUCGCCGUGCAUCCCUCGCCGUGCUGCGUGUGCUGCAGGAUGGGGCUGCACACGAGCGUGCAAAGUGCUGGGUGCGUGGAAAUGGCUGGAAAAGUGCUCCCUACUCCUGCUUCAAUCAGAGGAACGGAGCAGCUGUUGGAGUGAAUGGGCCCUGCACUAAAGCAGACGUCUUAAUAUCUUUUGCAGAGGAGGUGCAUUGUGAUUCACUCUGUGCAUCUCUAUUACUCAGCGUUUGAUAGGGGCUUACUUGUCUCAAGUGCUUUUCAUUAUUGCCCUAAUGCUAUCUAUUAACAUAUGGGAUGGAGGCUCUUUUCUCAUCUGGAGCGUGCAUCACUCCGCUUUUAAGGAUGAUGGGGCUUGCAAGUACAUAACACUUUGCUGCCUCCCUGACGGAGCUCACCAGGAGGAGGGAGGGGGUGCGUGGGGUUGGAGGGCCGCAGGGCUGCGAGGACACAGUGGUGUGAGCAGAGCCACAGCCAUGCACUGCUCCACUGCCACAGCCCUGCACGGCAGCCGGGUCAGUUAGCUGCUUUAACUGCCCAGGGGGUGUUUGCAGGUGCAGGCUCUGUGGGCAGACUUUGCGGGGGAAGAUUACAGGUGUGGUUUUCUGGGUGGGUGCUGUGUGAUGGGCAGAGCUGUGCUGGGGCGGUCCCACGCGCUGCUCUUACUCUGCACAUGGCUGCAACUCAGAGCUGAACCUUCUGCUGGACAGGAGCAGAAGGAGCUGCAGCCUGGUGAGAGAGCACAUCUCUUCCCUCGGCUCAGGAUGAGUUCUGCCUUGCAUUUUGGUGAGCUAUGGCAAGAAACGCAAUAGCACAGGAGCAAAAAUCACUGCACCUCAGGCUCAGAGCGGUUGGAAGGGACCUGUGGGGCUCCCCCAGCCCGGCCCCAUCCUGCAGGACCCGCAUGUCCCAUCAGCCAGGUUGGGAUGGGGGGAUUCAGAGCACCUGGAAACCCCAGCGUGGCACAGUCGUGCAGCAGCCGCCUCCGAGCAGCUUGAUGGAUGGCGGGCCGGUCCCACCCGCAGCCAGAUGACAGCUCCUCGCAUCAGCCGCUGUGAUAAAUAGCAAUUACAGACAGGAGCACUGCCACUCACAUUUGCCUAAGUGAGGAGCAGAAUCAUACAUCUCCGCUGAUUACAUAUCAAUGAUGCGCUGGAGGCCUUCGCAACUUUUAGAUCCGCUUAAGAUAUGCCGCCCUGAUUUAGACGGCGAUUUGCAUACAAUUUACCCAUAAAGCCUUACUUUGAAAAGCAUAAUUACUUCUUCUUCUUCUUCUUUUUUUUUUUUUUUGUUUUAAUAUUCUUCCUUCUGAUUUGAAUGUUAGCGAGGCCAUAGCAUGAAUUACUGUGCUAAUGAAGAC